rnacentral:rRNA from 1 species
GGUGGAUCAGUGGCGAACGGGUGAGUAACACGUGAGCAACCUGCCUUGAACUCUGGGAUAAGCGCUGGAAACGGCGUCUAAUACUGGAUAUGAGCUGCGGAGGCAUCUUCGUGGUUGGAAAGAUUUUUCGGUUUGGGAUGGGCUCGCGGCCUAUCAGCUUGUUGGUGAGGUAAUGGCUCACCAAGGCGUCGACGGGUAGCCGGCCUGAGAGGGUGACCGGCCACACUGGGACUGAGACACGGCCCAGACUCCUACGGGAGGCAGCAGUGGGGAAUAUUGCACAAUGGGCGGAAGCCUGAUGCAGCAACGCCGCGUGAGGGAUGACGGCCUUCGGGUUGUAAACCUCUUUUAGCAGGGAAGAAGCGUAAGUGACGGUACCUGCAGAAAAAGCGCCGGCUAACUACGUGCCAGCAGCCGCGGUAAUACGUAGGGCGCAAGCGUUAUCCGGAAUUAUUGGGCGUAAAGAGCUCGUAGGCGGUUUGUCGCGUCUGCUGUGAAAACCCGAGGCUCAACCUCGGGCCUGCAGUGGGUACGGGCAGACUAGAGUGCGGUAGGGGAGAUUGGAAUUCCUGGUGUAGCGGUGGAAUGCGCAGAUAUCAGGAGGAACACCGAUGGCGAAGGCAGAUCUCUGGGCCGUAACUGACGCUGAGGAGCGAAAGGGUGGGGAGCAAACAGGCUUAGAUACCCUGGUAGUCCACCCCGUAAACGUUGGGAACUAGUUGUGGGGUCCAUUCCACGGAUUCCGUGACGCAGCUAACGCAUUAAGUUCCCCGCCUGGGGAGUACGGCCGCAAGGCUAAAACUCAAAGGAAUUGACGGGGACCCGCACAAGCGGCGGAGCAUGCGGAUUAAUUCGAUGCAACGCGAAGAACCUUACCAAGGCUUGACAUACACGAGAACGCUGCAGAAAUGUAGAACUCUUUGGACACUCGUGAACAGGUGGUGCAUGGUUGUCGUCAGCUCGUGUCGUGAGAUGUUGGGUUAAGUCCCGCAACGAGCGCAACCCUCGUUCUAUGUUGCCAGCACGUAAUGGUGGGAACUCAUGGGAUACUGCCGGGGUCAACUCGGAGGAAGGUGGGGAUGACGUCAAAUCAUCAUGCCCCUUAUGUCUUGGGCUUCACGCAUGCUACAAUGGCCGGUACAAAGGGCUGCAAUACCGCGAGGUGGAGCGAAUCCCAAAAAGCCGGUCCCAGUUCGGAUUGAGGUCUGCAACUCGACCUCAUGAAGUCGGAGUCGCUAGUAAUCGCAGAUCAGCAACGCUGCGGUGAAUACGUUCCCGGGUCUUGUACACACCGCCCGUCAAGUCAUGAAAGUCGGUAACACCUGAAGCCGGUGGCCCAACCCUUGUGGAGGGAGCCGUCGAAGGUGGGAUCGGUAAUUAGGACUAAGUCGUAACAAGGUAACCGUAA